rnacentral:rRNA from 1 species
GGGCCCGCACAAGCAGCGGAGCGUGUGGUUUAAUUCGAUGCUACGCGAAGAACCUUACCAAGAUUUGACAUGCUUAUGACAGUUCCGGAAACGGAAUUUCCCUUCGGGGCAUAUCCACAGGUGCUGCAUGGCUGUCGUCAGCUCGUGCCGUGAGGUGUUUGGUUAAGUCCUGCAACGAGCGCAACCCUUAUUGCUAGUUGAAUUCUCUAGCGAGACUGCCUCGUAAAACGAGGAGGAAGGUGGGGAUGACGUCAAGUCAGCAUGGCCCUUAUAUCUUGGGCUACACACACGCUACAAUGGGUAGUACAAUAGGUUGCAAUGGAGCGAUCCGGAGCUAAUCCAUAAAACUAUCCUCAGUUCGGAUUACAGGCUGAAACUCGCCUGUAUGAAGUCGGAGUUGCUAGUAAACGCAAGUCAGCAUAUUG